GGAAACUAGCCAUAGUACUGUGGACCC
rnacentral:piRNA from 1 species